rnacentral:rRNA from 1 species
UAGUCCACGCCGUAAACGAUGAUCACUCGUUGUUGGCAAUACAUCGUCAGCGACUGAGCGAAAGCAUUAAGUGAUCCACCUGGGGAGUACGGUCGCAAGAUUGAAACUCAAAGGAAUUGACGGGGGCCCGCACAAGCGGAGGAACAUGUGGUUUAAUUCGAUGAUACGCGAGGAACCUUACCUGGGCUUAAAUGCAAAACGACGUACCGGGAAACUGGUACUCCCUUCGGGGCGGAUUGCAAGGUGCUGCAUGGCUGUCGUCAGCUCGUGCCGUGAGGUGUCGGGUUAAGUCCCAUAACGAGCGCAACCCUUAUCGUUAGUUGCCAUCGAGUAAUGUCGGGAACUCUAACGAAACUGCCGGUGUAAACCGUGAGGAAGGUGGGGAUGACGUCAAAUCAGCACGGCCCUUAUGUCCAGGGCUACACACGUGUUACAAUGGCCAGUACAAAGGGCAGCUACCAGGUGACUGGAUGCUAAUCUCCAAAACUGGUCUUAGUUCGGAUUGGAGU